CUGGCAACAGGAACGACCAUAAAGAAGCCGUCGAGAGAUAUCGGAAGAGUUUUCUUUUCUGUUUUAUAGCCGUACUACCAUGGAAGUCUUUCGCAGAGAGAUAUGGUAGAUGGGCUAGAAGAGCAUGACAUAUACUGUUGUGUCGAUAUUUUCUCCUCGGACCUUGAAAAUUUAUGGUGGGGACACGCAAACUUCUCAACAGGCCGUACCAAUAUCCGCAGCUGGUCUCCAAGGUGAAGAGUCUCUAGUCGAUAGAAUAAUGUAGGUAAGGGAAGUCGGCAAAUUAGAUCCGUAACUUCGGGAUAAGGAUUGGCUCUGAAGAUUGAGAUAGUCGGGCUUGAUUGGGAAACAAUAACAUGGUUUAUGUGCUCGUUCUGGGUAAAUAGAGUUUCUAGCAUUUAUGUUAGUUACUUGUUCCCCGGAUAGUUUAGUUACGUAGCCAAUUGUGGAACUUUCUUGCUAAAAUUUUUAAGAAUACUAUUUGGGUUAAACCAAUUAGUUCUUAUCAAUUAUAACGAUUAUCAAUUAACAAUCAAUUCAGAACUGGCACGGACUUGGGGAAUCCGACUGUCUAAUUAAAACAAAGCAUUGUGAUGGCCCUAGCGGGUGUUGACACAAUGUGAUUUCUGCCCAGUGCUCUGAAUGUCAAAGUGAAGAAAUUCAAGUAAGCGCGGGUCAACGGCGGGAGUAACUAUGACUCUCUUAAUCUAACCAUAAGGCGCCGCCCUAGUAGAAGUGAGCAAAACCACCAAGUAACAACAUCAGAAACAACUCCAAUCACUCCCUUCGAACAGUCGAACAGGGAAAUUUUGCGGACACUGCGUGGGUAUAGCCCCGUAGAAUGCCAUUCCAAAUGGAGAGCCCAAGAGCUACAAACGAUCAUUGACAGGGCAGAGCUCGAGGGAAAGGAAACCACUCUCCAAUGCUUAUCGCUAUAUCUCCUGGGAAUUUUUUCAGCUCAGGGUGUACGACACACGCUGACGAGAACCUCUUCGGAGACCUCGGAA
rnacentral:ncRNA from 1 species